rnacentral:lncRNA from 1 species
GGAGCUUUAGCAUCAUCAAAAGGUUUAGUGGAGAGUUGUGGAGAUGAACUAGUGAAUUCAAAUUCCAUUUCGGAACCAAACAGAAAAAUGAAAAGACAAUCAGCUUUGUGAAGAACCACAAUAAAGAAACAAAUUGGUAAACAGCUUUGUGAAGAUUCAUUAUCUUGCAAUUUACGUGGAAGAUUAAUCAUACAUCAACUUAUAUUUACAGCUCUGAAAAGUAUCUUCAUUAAAUGGUGGAACAACACAGGUCAUGGCAUCUUUGCACCGGAAACUCAAAAUGAGAUUUUGAUCUAAUGUUGUUCAU